AACGCACGAGACCUGCGGACCUGCGGAAGGAUCAUUACUGUUGAAACGUCUCGGCCAGUCGUGUCCCGCAUUGGGGCCUUCUGCGCCAGCGUUUAGCACCCUUGAUUUUGAGCACCUUUUGUUUCCUCGGCGGGUUCGCCCGCCAGCGAGGACCCCCAUGAACUCUUUGUAAUAGCAAUCUUUGUCUGAAAUACAAACAAUAAUCAAAACUUUUAACAAUGGAUCUCUAGAUCGGAAGAG
rnacentral:misc_RNA from 1 species